UACGUAGGGUGCGAGCGUUGUCCGGAAUUACUGGGCGUAAAGAGCUCGUAGGUGGUUUGUCGCGUUGUCCGUGAAAACUCACAGCUUAACUGUGGGCGUGCGGGCGAUACGGGCAGACUGGAGUACUGCAGGGGAGACUGGAAUUCCUGGUGUAGCGGUGGAAUGCGCAGAUAUCAGGAGGAACACCGGUGGCGAAGGCGGCGAUCUGGGAAGAUACUGACGCUGAGGUGCGAAAGCGUGGGGAGCAAACAGG
rnacentral:rRNA from 1 species